CAGGUGCUGCAUGGCUGUCGUCAGCUCGUGUCGUGAGAUGUUCGGUUAAGUCCGCUAACGAGCGCAACCCUCACUGUGUGUUACAAGUGUCACACGGGACUGCCGGUUUUAAGCCGGAGGAAGGCGAGGAUGACGUCAAGUCAGCAUGGCCUUUAUGGUCCUGGGCUACACACACGCUACAAUGGUCGGUGCAACAGGUUGCCAAGCCGCGAGGCGGAGCCAAUCCCUAAAGCCGGCCUCAGUUCAGAUUGUAGGCUGCAACUCGCCUGCAUGAAGCUGGAGUUGCUAGUAACCGCAGGUCAGCUAUACUGCGGUGAAUACGUUCCCGGGUCUU
rnacentral:rRNA from 1 species